CACUAAAUUUGGAAGGCUUUAGUCAGCUGAAGUCGUUGAUUGGAAAAAAUCUUGAAACUCGUGGCUGAAGGGAUUGUUCUCACUCUCAAAUCUCGGGAACAGCUCCCGCUCCUACUGCCUACUCCAUCUUGAAAAACUGUGCUCAUGCUGGUGACCACCGGCUUCAUCACGUAAACUCUCUGACCAAAGAGUUUGGCCAAACUCUUUGCCCUGACUGAACUUUUUAAUCCCAUAGCAGAAAGUGGCAAUACACAUGCAAAGAAAGAUAUUGUUUUGUUUUAAUGAACUGUUUCAUUGGCGCCUGACGCCUGCAUGUCUCGGUGACGACCGAUAGCUACCGAAGGAGGAAGGCGGGAGGAUGGAGAGUGGCCGAACGUGACGGCGGAGUGAGGUGUGCCGUUACUGCUUCAGCCAAACAGGACGAGGAGCAAGAGUCACGAGCGGAGGAAAAAAAGAUUAAACUUAUACAGUCAUCUGACAUUUUGUUGUGAAGUUACUUCAGUUAUCAUGAGAGGAAAACUUGACCAAG
rnacentral:lncRNA from 1 species